GAUAAGAUUGACCACUCCAAGAGUUGAAGAAGAAUGAGUCGCUGUAUUUCAAUUUAACAAAAUCUUGGCCAGGAUAAUCCAUCAGAUGGAUUUGAUAUUUUGAAAUACAAUGUGGACAAUCUGAUCAGAGUUGACAGUUGAACUCUGAGGUAUCCUAUGAGCAUUUUGGUCAAGAAGAUGAAUUAUAUGGAAACUAUAUCCGUAUGGGCUCUAAGGAUGUUGUUCUACACAUUCGACCUAUCCGACCGUUGGAU
rnacentral:lncRNA from 1 species